rnacentral:rRNA from 1 species
CCUACGGGCGGCAGCAGUGGGGAAUAUUGCACAAUGGGGGAAACCCUGAUGCAGCGACGCCGCGUGAGUGAAGAAGUAUUUCGGUAUGUAAAGCUCUAUCAGCAGGGAAGAAAAUGACGGUACCUGACUAAGAAGCCCCGGCUAACUACGUGCCAGCAGCCGCGGUCAUACGUAGGGGGCAAGCGUUAUCCGGAUUUACUGGGUGUAAAGGGAGCGUAGACGGUAUCACAAGUCUGGAGUGAAAUGCCGGGGCUUAACCCCGGGACUGCUUUGGAAACUGGGCAGCUAGAGUGCAGGAGAGGUAAGUGGAAUUCCUAGUGUAGCGGUGAAAUGCGUAGAUAUUAGGAGGAACACCAGUGGCGAAGGCGGCUUACUGGACUGUAACUGACGUUGAGGCUCGAAAGCGUGGGGAGCAAACAGGAUUAGAUACCCCUGUAGUC